AUACGGGGGAUACGAGCGUUAUCCGGAUUUAUUGGGUUUAAAGGGUGCGCAGGCGGACCGUUAAGUCAGGGGUGAAAAGUCCGUGCUCAACAUGGACCGUGCCUUUGAUACUGGCGGACUGGAGUGUGAUAGACGUGGCCGGAAUGUGGUGUGUAGCGGUGAAAUGCUUAGAUAUGCCACAGAACACCGAUCGAGAAGUCAGGUCGCGAGUUCACAACUGACGCUCAUGCACGAAAGCGUGGGGAUCAAACAGGAUUAGAUACCCUGGUAGUCCACGCUGUAAACGAUGAUCACUCGUUGUUGGUGGGCGACCAUCAGCGGCCAAGCGAAAGCGAUAAGUGAUCCACCUGGGGAGUACGCCGGCAACGGUGAAACUCAAAGGAAUUGACGGGG
rnacentral:rRNA from 1 species